AUAUUUAUAAGUUUAUCUACACUUUCUUUUAACAACUCAUAUUUUCUCACACUCUUUUCAAUAUAUAUAUGAAUUUCUGUCUUCACAAUUUUUUACGAAAAGCUAUCACUCUCCUAUUUUUUUGUAAGCACUCAUUUUAUUUGUUUCAUUCUUUCUUACAGUGUCUCUUUCCAUCCUCUUUUGAUUUUUUCUAAGCAAUAUGUGUCAUACCUUUUAAACUCACAUGCUCCAUAUUUCUUCUUCGAAAAUCUCUUU
rnacentral:sRNA from 1 species